ACCUACGUGAAUAUGGUUACUGUAUAAUUCAUCCUUUUGACCUCUGUGUUUAGGAUGACUCAGGGUUAAACUGUCAACCCUGAUUAGAUCAUCCGAAUCGUGCUCAACUCAAACAGUCCUAUGACUCCUCACAAGGACUACCCUGGCCAAGGUUUUACAAAAUUGAAACACGACUGUACAUAGCUCCUAAACUAGAGUGGUCAAUCCCAUCUUGACACACACACCGACAAGUCAAGUACUUGACUACACCCAGCUGCCUUCCGUCACUGAAUUAGAAAUUCAGGUAGUCCAGUGCCUAAGU
rnacentral:lncRNA from 1 species